ACAUGCCUACAUCAUAGUGUUAAUGCAUCGGAUCCCAUUAGAACUCCACAAUUAAGAACGCUCAGGCUAGAGUAGUACUAGGAUGGGUGAUUUCCCGAGAAGUCCUAGUGUUUUACAUGCC
rnacentral:rRNA from 1 species